rnacentral:rRNA from 1 species
CCUGACGCAGCGACGCCGCGUGAGGGAAGAAGGUUUUCGGAUUGUAAACCUCUGUCUUCGGGGACGAAACAAAUGACGGUACUCGAGGAGGAAGCCACGGCUAACUACGUGCCAGCAGCCGCGGUAAUACGUAGGUGGCAAGCGUUGUCCGGAAUUACUGGGUGUAAAGGGAGCGCAGGCGGAACUGCAAGUUGGGUGUUUAAUCUACGGGCUCAACCCGUAUCAGCAUUCAAAACUGUGGUUCUUGAGUAAUGCAGAGGUAGGCGGAAUUCCCGGUGUAGCGGUGGAAUGCGUAGAUAUCGGGAGGAACACCAGUGGCGAAGGCGGCCUACUGGGCAUCAACUGACGCUGAGGCUCGAAAGCAUGGGUAGCAAACAGGAUUAGAUACCCUGGUAGUCCAUGCUGUAAACGAUGAUUACUAGGUGUGGGAUGAUUGACCCUUUCCGUGCCGCAGUUAACACAAUAAGUAAUCCACCUGGGGAGUACGACCGCAAGGUUGAAACUCAAAGGAAUUGACGG